rnacentral:rRNA from 1 species
CCUACGGGAGGCAGCAGUGAGGAAUAUUGGUCAAUGGACGAAAGUCUGAACCAGCCAAGUCGCGUGAAGGAUGACUGCCCUCUGGGUUGUAAACUUCUUUUGUAUGGGAGUAAACCGUUCCACGUGUGCCCUUUUGUAUGUACCCUAUGAAUAAGGAUCGGCUAACUCCGUUCCAGCAGCCGCGGUAAUACGGAGGAGCCGAGCGUUAUCCGGAUUUAUUGGGUUUAAAGGGAGCGUAGGUGGAUUGUUAAGUCCGGUGUGAAAGUUUGGGGCUCAACCGUAAAAUUGCAGUUGAAACUGGCAGGCUGGAGUACAGUAGAGGUGGGCGGAAUUCGUGGUGUAGCGGUGAAAUGCUUAGAUAUCACGAAGAACUCCGAUUGCGAAGGCAGCCCACUGGACAGAAACUGACACUGAGGCGCGAAAGCGUGGGUAUCAAACAGGAUUAGAUACCCCUGUAGUC